AAUGAACGCUAGCGGCAGGCUUAAUACAUGCAAGUCGAGGGGUAGCAAGAUUGUAGCAAUACAAUUGUUGACGACCGGCAAACGGGUGCGGAACACGUACACAACCUUCCUACAAGUGGGGAAUAGCCCAGAGAAAUUUGGAUUAAUACCCCGUAACAUAGCGAUGUGGCAUCACAUUGCUAUUAUAGCUUCGGCGCUUGUUGAUGGGUGUGCGGCUGAUUAGAUAGUUGGCGGGGUAACGGCCCACCAAGUCUACGAUCAGUAGCUGAUGUGAGAGCAUGAUCAGCCACACGGGCACUGAGACACGGGCCCGACUCCUACGGGAGGCAGCAGUAAGGAAUAUUGGACAAUGGACGCAAGUCUGAUCCAGCUAUGCCGCGUGAAGGAUUAAGGUCCUCUGGAUUGUAAACUUCUUUUAUAAGGGACGAAAAAAGGUCUUUCUAGAUCGUCUGACGGUACCUUAUGAAUAAGCACCGGCUAACUCCGUGCCAGCCGCCGCCGAAAGAC
rnacentral:rRNA from 1 species